rnacentral:tRNA from 1 species
UCCGAUAUGGUCUAGUCGUCUAGUGGCUAGGAUACCUGGCUUUCACCCAGGAGGCUCGGGUUCGAUUCCCGGUAUCGGAA